GAUGAACGCUGGCGGCGUGCCUAAUACAUGCAAGUCGAGCGAACGGAUGAGAAUCUUGCUUCUCUGAUGUUAGCGGCGGACGGGUGAGUAACACGUGGAUAACCUACCUAUAAGACUGUUAUAAUUUUGGGAAACCUGAGCUAAUACCGGAUAAUAUUUUGAACUGCAUGGUUCAAAAGUGAAAUACGGUCGUGCUGUCACUAAUAGAUGGAACCGCGCUGCAUUAGCUAGUUGGUAAGGUAACGGCUCACCAAGGCAACGAUCGACAGCCGACCUGAGAGAACGAGCCGCCACACCGGGAGGGAGGCACGGCCCGGAAUCCUACGGGAGGGAGCAGAGGGGAAUCGGGCGCAAGGGGCGAAAGCCUGACGCAGCCAUGCCGCGUGAAUGUUUAUUGUCGUAGGAGAGUAAAUUUCUUGCAGCGGGGACGAUAAUGACGGGACCCGAAGAAGAAGCCCCGGCUAACUUCGUG
rnacentral:rRNA from 1 species